GAUGAACGCUGGCGGCGUGCCUAAUACAUGCAAGUCGAGCGAACAGACGAGGAGCUUGCUCCUCUGACGUUAGCGGCGGACGGGUGAGUAACACGUGGAUAACCUACCUAUAAGACUGGGAUAACUUCGGGAAACCGGAGCUAAUACCGGAUAAUAUAUUGAACCGCAUGGUUCAAUAGUGAAAGACGGUUUUGCUGUCACUUAUAGAUGGAUCCGCGCCGCAUUAGCUAGUUGGUAAGGUAACGGCUUACCAAGGCAACGAUGCGUAGCCGACCUGAGAGGGUGAUCGGCCACACUGGAACUGAGACACGGUCCAGACUACUACGGGAGGCAGCAGUAGGGAAUCUUCCGCAAUGGGCGAAAGCUUGACGGAGCAACGCCGCGUGAGUGAUGAAGGUCUUCGGAUCGUAAAACUCUGUUAUUAGGGAAGAACAAAUGUGUAAGUAACUAUGCACGUCGUGACGGUACCUAAUCAGAAAGCCACGGCUAACUACGUG
rnacentral:rRNA from 1 species